AAGCAGAGGGGGCUUAGUGGUGGGGUGACUGCGUACCUUUUGUAUAAUGGGUCAGCGACUUAUAUUCUGUAGCAAGGUUAACCGCAUAGGGGAGCCGAAGGGAAACCGAGUCUUAACCGGGCGUUAAGUUGCAGGGUAUAGACCCGAAACCCGGUGAUCUAGCCAUGGGCAGGUUGAAGGUUGGGUAACACUAACUGGAGGACCGAACCGACUAAUGUUGAAAAAUUAGCGGAUGACCUGUGGCUGGGGGUGAAAGGCCAAUCAAACCGGGAGAUAGCUGGUUCUCCCCGAAAGCUAUUUAGGUAGCGCCUCGUGAAUUCAUCUCCGGGGGUAGAGCACUGUUUCGGCUAGGGGGCCAUCCCGGCUUACCAACCCGAUGCAAACUGCGAAUACCGGAGAAUGUUAUCACGGGAGACACACGGCGGGUGCUAACGUCCGUCGUGAAGAGGGAAACAACCCAGACCGCCAGCUAAGGUCCCAAAGUCAUGGUUAAGUGGGAAACGAUGUGGGAAGGCCCAGACAGCCAGGAUGUUGGCUUAGAAGCAGCCAUCAUUUAAAGAAAGCGUAAUAGCUCACUGGUCGAGUCGGCCUGCGCGGAAGAUGUAACGGGGCUAAACCAUGCACCGAAGCUGCGGCAGCGACACUUUAGUGUUGUUGGGUAGGGGAGCGUUCUGUAAGCCGUUGAAGGUGUCCUGUGAGGGGUGCUGGAGGUAUCAGAAGUGCGAAUGCUGACAUAAGUAACGAUAAAGCGGGUGAAAAGCCCGCUCGCCGGAAGACCAAGGGUUCCUGUCCAACGUUAAUCGGGGCAGGGUGAGUCGACCCCUAAGGCGAGGCCGAAAGGCGUAGUCGAUGGGAAACGGGUUAAUAUUCCCGUACUUGGUGUUACUGCGAAGGGGGGACGGAGAAGG
rnacentral:rRNA from 1 species